CUGCUACAUCAUCCAAGGCAUCAACCUCGGAACACCGCCAUGGAUUUAGCCGCAGCUAUUACGCAGAAGGACAAGACAUCAGCAAGGGAAAGGGAGGAUCAGAAAAGAACUCAAACGGGAAUUGGCCACUGCAAAGAAGGUACAGGAUCCUAAGAAAAGAAAUCUAGAGAGAGAAAAGAUCUCCUGAAAAUUUAUUACUCUACUUAAUCUAUCAGAUAAUCAUCCGGCCACCCUGCAGCAGCACAAACAGAUAUCACCGAAAGGAGCAAGAGAAGAAGAUCGGCGAAGAAAAGAAGGACCAGCCACACAAGAACUGGGAAGCAUAGAAGGUCCAGGAAGGUAGGAAGAACUCACCCUAGCUCUUCCUGUUUAUCUCCCACUUGCUAUUUUCACGGGUGCUCCAGCUUUGCCAUGACCUGGGAGACGAGAGGAGGGAGGGGCGAGUCCAGAGAGAAGCCGCAAGAGGGAGGAGAAAGAAAAGAGGAAGGGGGGAUAAGAGCAUCUCCAACAACGUGACCUAUAAAAAUGCCUUAUAAUUUAAAAAUAAGUAAAUUUUAUAGAAUUUAGGGCACCAAAAAAACACCCUACUCCAACAGUAAAGCCCCAAAUCUAGAUUAUAGGGCAGCCCACUACGGUGUAGUAUAUUUGAGGCACUUGAGAGAGUGCCCUAUAGUUUUUUGACAAAAAUUGUUGAAUUAAGGCACUGUUGGAGUGGUUUUUCCUGUGUAGAGCUCUAUAUUUCGAUUUGAGGCAUUAGUUUGAGGCAUUGUUGGAGAUGCUCUAAGAACAGCUAUGGCAGGGCCAAGGCUUCUGCCCUCUGGCGCAAAGUAAUCGCAGGCAAGUGGGCGUGCUGGUCGUGGUCUGCUGCUC
rnacentral:lncRNA from 1 species